rnacentral:misc_RNA from 1 species
GAUGAAGAACGCAGCGAAAUGCGAUAAGUAAUGUGAAUUGCAGAAUUCAGUGAAUCAUCGAAUCUUUGAACGCACAUUGCGCCCCUUGGUAUUCCGAGGGGCAUGCCUGUUCGAGCGUCAUUAUCACCCCUCAAGCCUAGCUUGGUGUUGAGGCCUGCUGUCAAGGCAGCCUCUAAAAUCAGUGGCAGUGCUGUCAGGCUCUAAGCGUAGUAAAUCUAAUCGCUAUAGACACCUGGUGGACACUCGCCAGAACCCCCCCAUUUUUUAAUGAUUGACCUCGGAUUAGGUAGGGAUACCCGCUGAACUUAAGCAUAUCAAUAAGCGGAGGA